rnacentral:lncRNA from 1 species
GCGAUCCGUAGGGAAACUGGCGGGAGUGAGGAGCCGAGGGGCGCGAUGCUGGUGCCCAGGGUGCGCCGCUGGGAGCUGGUUCUCCAUGGGGCCCCGAAGGGGCUGGAAACACCUCUGUGCAGCCUCUAAGCCGCCCGAGUAUCUCCCAGGCCCCCCUGGGACCUUGUGCUCCUUGUGGUAUGCUUUACGUGGGAAUUAGGCUUUCUCUUUUUGGAAGGGAUAAGUAAUUGAUAAAUAAUGGACGCUGAUACCGAACUGUGACCCAUUUCAGAUUUACAUAAACCGUUCUUCAAAGAGCAGAAUAAAGCAGUCUGAAGAACUUUUGGCAAAAUUUUCCCUUGAGGAUUUUUACCCCCCCACUACCACUAUUGCCAAUUUGGGAGCGAAACGGAGAAGUUUAAAACAUUCCAAGUUGUUACUGUUAACAGUUAAGUGAAGGUGACUCAGACAUAAGCUUGAUCAUUCAGGAAACGUUUACAAAGUGACAGACGGAGGGGCCAGACAGGUCCUUCUCGUACUUUUUCCGCCUCGGGAGCCCUGGUAUCGGAACCUCCUCUUCCCUAGCCACGGUUUCCGCGGACGGGGCGGAAGUGAACGCUCCGAGGCCGAAUCAGCUUCCCGGAAGUCUUUGGCAUGCUAGAAGGACGCAUGCGUGCUUGCGUCCUGGGAAAGGCGGGGGCGUGUUCGGAGCGGGCCGCGGUGAUUGCCGCCUCCUCGCUGCUGCGGCCGGCUGCUCUGGCGGGGCCUCGGCAGUUCCGGGCUCCUGCCCGCCGCCUCUGCGCCUGCCAGGUCCCAGCCCGCACCUCUCCUCUGCCCGCAGCGUCAGUGGAGCCGCUAGCGGGGACGGCGUCUGUGCUGUGCUCCCUUGCGGACCCCAGGUUCCCUCCAGCAGAGGUCCGUCCUGUCCCGCGACCCUGGGGACAGACAGCGCUUGGCACGCCGCGGGUAGACAAUGCCAAAAGUCGAGGCUUUGGAGGUGUCUAGAUUGUAUCAACUUUGCAUAUUAUAACUAUGAAGAGAAACAUCUACAACAGUGUUUAGAAAACAACAAGGGGGCUUCUGGCUGAUGAGGUGGCUCAGUUGGAAAAGAUGCCUGCCAAGAGGCCUGAGGAGCUAGAUUCAAUACCCAGACCCCCAUCAUGAAUUGUCUUCUGACCUCUAUUCAUGCGCACACAAAAUAAGAUAUAAUAGAAUUUGAAAAAAUAUAGGAUUUAUGUCAGUAAAAGGCUUCAUCAUUUAUCGUGCAACAAAGAAUAUUUUCUUUUUAUUUUUCUAGUUUUACCAAUCAAUAAUAUGGGGAUAAUAGUUUUCAUUGUAGAAGGAUGAAAUAAUGACCAAAAUGCCUAUAUUAAUAAAUAGUAGUUACUAAUAUAGAAAAGGGUGUCUUGUGUGAUAUCUUUUGGUGACAUGAUUUAUUUCUGUAUUCUAUGUGUAAGUACUAUCAUUGCAUGGUAACUCCAAUAAAAAACACAUAGAAAGUCUGUAUUGCCUACUGGUGACUGCACAGGGCACUAACCCAAAUCAUCCAGCCCCAAGCUUUACCUUUUUUUGUCCUUUAUGUACAAAAAUCACAUCCUGGUUGACACACUUUGAUUAAUAAGAACAUUAAGGAAGAUAGGUGAGUACAUUUAGGGACUUCCCUGGAUUCUGGAACCAGGGAUUAGGUCUUUGAUGGAUUAGGUCCAUGUUCCCAUUUUGGCAGGUGUUGGAACCUGUGUGCUAGGUUCCAAGGUCAGAAUGGUGUCUCCAGCAUGGCUUGUGCUAAGGUCUGGGAGCCUGUUACUCUAGUGCCACACUAGAUGUAAGAGGUUUAAUGGCUUUUCUUGUUUUGGUGUAACAAAUGUUGGAAUUACAAAUUAAUAUUUUUACAUUAAUUAUUUGUAAUCUUUUUAUCCAUGAUUAUUCAUGUUUGGGAAUAUCCUUUCUCAGAUUUAUGUAUAUGUGUAUUAUAGUUUUCAAACUAGAAUUAUAAAUUUGGUUUAGUGAUUUGCUAAGGAUAGUGAAGAUGAAAUUAUGGAAGAAUCCGGGGCAUGAUGGCAUAUGCAUUUAAUCCAGCACUCAACAGGCAGAGGUAGGCAGAUAUCUUUGAGUUGGAGGCCUCUCUGGUCUACAUAUGUACAUUGUGAUGGUUUGCUUUCUCAUGAAACAGUAAUUUUUACUUAAUUUUAGUUUCAGUAAGCAUUUUUGUCCUUGUUACAAGGUGUCUAGGGCUUCCCAUGCUGAAGUUACUAAUUUAGUUCCAGUGAGCCAUGUAAAUCCUACUUUAAUAUAGUUUAUUGUUUCUUUAUUUUGUAUGGUAGAAACACUAAACAGUGAAUAUAUUUAUUAUAAUUAUUGCUUUUACAUCUUUUAAAGAAAUGGGAGAACUAGCUGGGUGGUAGUGGCACACACCUUUAAUCCCAGCACUUGAGAGGUAGAGACUGGCAGAUCUCUGUGAGUUCGAGGCCAGCUCUGGACUACAGAGUGGGUUCCAGAACAGGUUCCAAAGCUACAGAGAAACCCUGUCUCGAGGGGGAAUAAAAGAGAAAGAAAUGGGAGAACUGAAGAAGUCAAAUGUGAAUUUACGGCUUUUGUUAUUAACUUUAUCCUCCAAGAUUUUCUUUUGUUUCUUGUGGAAUUCAGUUUGCCAUCUGAGGUAAUUUCUAAAGCUUUGCUCUGCUCUGCUAUAAAUCAGUUUCAUCCUGGUUGGAGAUGUGGUGAUUUAUGAUUUAUGAUUUGUCGCGACCGCCUCGACCAGCAAGGAAGACGCAACGCUGAGACUCUUCCUUAAGCAGUUUACUCAGGAACCUUGAACAAUCUUCUGACCCCGGGGAAAGGCCCCCCACAGCUUAAAAGCACUCUUGCCAGCCAACCCCAGAACGCCACGUGGCUAAGGCAGAUAGGCUCGCAUUUGCUGAUGCAAGUUUGAAUCUUAGACCAAGCCAAAUAAGGAGUUGUUUAUUCCAGAGAGUGCUCACCCUCGGGAUGGUGGAAGGCGGAAACCGGCGCCAUCUUUAAGGCGUGGAGAGCAUCGAAGCUCUCCACAGUUCCCCCUUCUUUAUUAAAAAACAGAGCGGGUGAAGAUAGA